GGGGCUGCAGCUCAGUGGCAGAGCACUUGCCUAUCACGUGUGAGGCACUGGGUUCGAUCCUCAGCACCACUA
rfam:Ictidomys tridecemlineatus contig003539, whole genome shotgun sequence.